AUAAAUUCUUCUAAAACUCACAUGACGAAAAUGAAGAACAAGUGGGCUGAUUGUUCUACUGUAGUCUCAGCACAACCUACAUUAAAAAGAGUACGACUUGGAUGGCUAGUAAAAAGAGGAGAUCGUUAUGAGCAAAUGAAGAAACCUAUAGGUGGAGUCAGAGAAGUACCUUUAGAAGUAGGCAAGAAAUAUUUAGUUAGUGAUAUAAAAAAAAAUUGCGAUAGAGAAGUUUUCUUGCAAUAGCGAAGUAUCAUUUCAAAAUUCGGAUGUACGUCUUGGUCUUUUUGAUCGCACUAUACUAACUAGCUUUAGAGACAGCAAGGGUAUUUCCUGUGACUUGUGGACUUUUCUAAAAGAGCAAAAAUCGAGAUUAUUUACUUUGUAUAUAAUAACGUCUCCAAAAGGAUGUGCUGAGACAUGUGAACAACU